CCUACGGGAGGCAGCAGUGGGGAAUAUUGCACAAUGGGGGAAACCCUGAUGCAGCGACGCCGCGUGAAGGAAGAAGUAUUUCGGUAUGUAAACUUCUAUCAGCAGGGAAGAAAAUGACGGUACCUGACUAAGAAGCCCCGGCUAACUACGUGCCAGCAGCCGCGGUAAUACGUAGGGGGCAAGCGUUAUCCGGAUUUACUGGGUGUAAAGGGAGCGUAGGCGGCGAUGCAAGUCAGAAGUGAAAGCCCGGGGCUCAACUCCGGGACUGCUUUUGAAACUGUAUGGCUAGAUUGCAGGAGAGGGAAGUGGAAUUACUAGUGGAGCGGUGAAAUGCGUAGAGAUUAGGAGGAACACCAUUGGCGAAGGCGGCAUGCUGGACGGUAAAUGACGCUGAGGCUCGAAAGCGUGGGGAGCAAACAGGAUGAGAUACCCGUGUAGU
rnacentral:rRNA from 1 species